GGGCAACUGUCGCGAUUGUUGUGACCUGCGAAUUCGAAAACAAAGUAACAUCGUAAAAAUAGUGGAGCUGGCACCUUGACAUCAUGAGAAGUUUGUUAGAGAGCCAAUUGUUUCGUGGAUGUAGUCGUACCUGUACAGUUUUCGUCGACGCAUCUUCGCUUGCUGGAGACGGCCGCCUCCGUGGACGUGCACACGGCGAGCGCGACGAGGAGGAAGGAAAUUUUCACGUUCAUCUUUUCAUCGUCGCAGCGCAUUGACAAACAAACUCGCGAGUUUCAAGUCACGAAAGCCACAUCAUCCUGACAGCUGUGAAGUAGUAAAGUGCGCCAUCGGAACUGGGUUACACUAUAGGCAACCCAAAAUGCACGCAAGCAGAAUAUAAAUAACAAACCAUAAGUACAGUGUGCGUGUGUCGAGUCCUCACUACGUUUGCUACGCCAAACAAAAUAAAUACUACGUGCUACAGUUAAAGGCAGACAAUAUGGCAUUGAGAUGAUUACACCGCCGUGUCGUCACGAAGUUCGUCGCUUGAUGGGUUUCCAGCCUGCCGGAAUCGUGAGGCAAAGUUCGAUGCGAACCUAGUCAGUCCCAUUCUGUUUGAAGGAAGCGAAAGAUAAACAAACGUCAGUCCUCGCAAAUAUUUGAUUGCAAACGGUUUCGAGUUGAAUCUUCUGGUGAUAUUGAUUUUCCUCGUCCACCCAUACGUGAAAUCGCUUCGAACAUGUUCUCAAAAUGGCCGGCGGCACAAGCUCCCAAGAUGGCGGCUCCUAGGAGUACUGAUUCUACUUCUUCCGGCACUACUACCGGUAAGUGCACAGUAUUUGCUUGCAUUUGUACGUAUAGUGGGUUUUUACUUAAUCCACCACAAAUUAAUAUGGAUUUAAAGGGUUUAUAACCGGAACUGACUAAUGUCUCCAUUAUAUGACGCGUACCAUACUAAAAUUUAAGUUAUGAUAUUAUGAACCACUUAAAAUUUGUUUUAAAACUUACGCAAAGUGCUUGAACAGUGGCCAAAUAUAAAAUUGCGAGGUUUUCUUCAGUUGACGAUAAAGUCAAGCCGGAAAUCUACAAUGGAUUAUUUUUAUUUAGGUUAAAUAUUACUUAAAUUAAUUUUAAUAACAAACCAUUCCUUUAAGAGUUGGAUCUGCUAUUGGUGAACGAUUUCCAUGGAAAUCCGGCCAAACAUGUACUUCUUUAGUUAGAAAAUCAACCGGAACUUUUUCACGUGUGCUAAUCGUACGUAAAAGUUUGGUUAGAUAUUCUUGAAUGUGCCUAUAACACAAAUUAUCUUUAGUUUUCUUAAUUUUUCGGCGUUUUUAAAGUUUACACUUACAUGUCACCAAUUCGAGCCUUAAUUUCAUUGCUAGCUGGAUGACUAUCAAUUAUAAAAUCAAUUAGUUUUCCUGUAACGCUCUGCCCGGCUUCAUUUAACCACAUUCCUGGAACCAUUGCACUAUAAUAUGGUCCCCAGAUUCCUGGUGUUGGCAAAGCGUCUUUCGAGACAGCCAUGUGACAUGUUGAUGUGCCACAAAUUAAACCUUAAAAAUAUUAUUUAAAUUUUGCACGUUGCUUGAUUUGGUUAUGUAUACUUAGUCUGCUAGAAAAGUCUGCAUCAACGCCAUCUACUUGACAUCCGAUCAAUCCCAAUCCACCAGAAUGUGCAUCGAUUAUACUUGCACCAACAGGCAUGUGUGGAACUAAAUCUAAUUCUGCAGCAACUAAUGGAUGUAAGCCAUUUCCCACAGAUUCUCCUGGAGACUUCACCACUUUUCCGAUUUUAUGUCCGCCAUUUUGCAAAAGAUCUUCAAGGCAUGUUUGUUUAAAGUAGGAAGGGUUCCAUUGUGAGGUAUUAUUGUUUGCAUCGAGAAUUUCGUAAGUCCAUUUACAAACCAAUGAACAUAACGAUCUAUUAAGAGUAAAUUAAUAAUGACAUUUAUUAAUGAUAAUUAACCUUAAAAUUUUACCGUGAAUCACAAGAUGUCGCCCUCCAUGUUAGAUAAUCAGGUAAAUCAAAGAAAUACCCAGCGUUUGACCAUGUUUUUGGUAAAUUGGUUUUCAACCAC